rnacentral:snoRNA from 1 species
GAGAGUUGUGUGAUGAUGUCAAAGUGCAUAGUUCAGAUGAUAAAACAUUGAUUAAUAUUUGAAAAGUCUUUCACUCCUACCCGAUGACUCUC